rnacentral:misc_RNA from 1 species
AGGAUUUGUGCUCGUAUUUGACAACAGUGAUACCUUAUCACGUGGACAGUGGCCCAUCUGAUGAUCAAGCUUUACAAGUUCUCAUUAAGAUAUUGAAGGCUAUUAAUCAGGAUAGUCCAACGGUGCCCACAUUAUUAACGGACUACAUAUUGAAAGUUCUGUGCCCCACCUAGUGAUCCACUAGUACAUAUCCUCCGACGUGACAUCGCUGUGCUACGUAUAAACAAGAGAAGAUUUAUUAAGAUGCAGAUUGCUCCUCUCUUCUUGCCAUUGUGCUUUCAUAUAGCACUACAAUAAAUCUUAUAGAAAUAAGCUCUCAUUGAGAUUUCUCUGUAUUUAUGACUCGACGCGAGAAGGCAAAAAUCAAUGUAAUGCCA